UAAGAGUAGUCUUAUACUAUGCGUAUACGGUGUCAGCCAGUACCAAAAACGUCUAAUCGGCCGAGUCAUACGGAACGCCAAAUUACCCCCUCUAAAAUUUCAGCACCGAAAAAUUGAACGAAAAAUUUUCGUGACAAUCAGCAAAAAGCUGAUCCUACGAGCUACGACAGUUUUACCUACCAAUGUUUAGCGUUUCGUGCUGCAACUAGUAGUUGAUAUUCCAGGAUGUUAUGCCUAAAAUUGGAAUUCAGCUAUCAGAGAUUAGCAAAAUUGAAGCGGAAACUCUAGAUGGCGUUGAUGUACGUAUAUGAUGAAGAUUAUGAGUGACAAGUUAAUUGGGUGUUUGUUACGUUAUCCUGUUUUGUGUUUCAAAGGAUUUUUCGUCAAAAAAUUUACGAUUGCUUUUUGUAUAUGGUGGUGUUUCGCCUUGUCAGCUAUGCCAGCUGCGAACCAGUAGCCUGCAUUCAUGCUAUCAAUGUACCACAAGAGAUCCUGACACUUUAAGAAGGCCACUAUUGCUUACAUGAAGAUCACCAUCCAGUUCAAUCAACGACAGAGUCUUCAUCUACUUUGUGUUGCUAACCAUCAGCCCUCAACAUCCCAGGUAUCCAGAUUUCCAAGUUUCUCUGAUUAGCCAACCAUCACCCAUACCCUUCAGCUCUUCAGUGUGGCUUCUCUUCCUCUCUUCCUAGUCUGCUGAAUACCAACAUUGAAUAAGGUUCCUCAUCAUUGCCUUUCCAUGCCAGCUCACAUGGAUGGGCUUUAACUAAGAAAAACUUCUGUGAUAGGACUGCAAAUAUUCAUCUUCCUUCGGUACAACACUGCCGUUUUGACAAUUUCUGUAGUUUCGCCCCCAGUGAACCACACGCAACUACAUUUUCUUCAUCUUCCUGUCGUUGUUGUCUGCGACUUCACCUCAUCGCUGUCUUCGUUGACGUCUUCGCCUUCAUCUCCGUCUCGUCGUCUUGACCGUCUUCGCCUUCAUCUCCGUCUCGCCGUCUUCGCCUUCAUCUCCGUCUCGUCGUCUUCGCCGUCUUCGCCUUCAUCUCCGUCUCGUCGUCUUCGCCGUCUUCGCCUUCAUCUCCGUCUCGUCGUCUUCGCCGUCUUCGCCGUCUUCGCCGUCUUCGCCUUUGUUUCAUCGCCGUCUUUUUCUACGCCAACACUUUGUCGCCGGCUUCUCCUUCGCACUUCACGUAGGGAAUUCACCGUGGAUCGUCGUCCUGGUAUUGUUUUAUUUUGCAUUGUUGUGUUUAAGUUAACCCGUUGGCUGCCACCCCGUUUGCGUCCCAUUUUUUUUGUAGCUUGUAGGGACCGGCCGCAAUGGCCUUCGCCGCAAGGCGCCUUAGGCA